UCCAUUUUUGUCAGCCUUAAUAGCAUUGAACUCAAAAUUCUACAGAAGUAAAGAGCCGAGUUGAAUUCACUACAAACUCUCAUUGUCGGCGAUCCAAUUAACUCAGAGACUCAGUGAGUCUAACCAAUCUAGAAAACAAAAAAAAAAAAUGGUGGCCGAGCUGAAGUACGAGAUCUCACAGAACGCUUACAUGAAGUUGGUUCUACAUGCUUUGAAGCACAAAACCACGGCGGUCAAUGGCGUCUUACUCGGCCGAGUCAACCCACAAAAUGAAAACGUCGUUGAGAUCGUUGACUCAGUUCCUCUGUUUCACUCUAAUCUUGCUUUAUUGCCUCCCCUCGAGAUCGCCCUCAUCAUGAGGAGCAUUAUGGAUCUGAGGGCUUGGGAAUUGUGAGUUAUUUCCAUGCACAUGAGAGGUUUGAUGAUGCAGAGGUUGGCAUUGUGGCAAAGAAUAUUGGUGAUCAUAUUUGCCGUUAGAUAACAAAAAGCUUGAAGCUUUGCCCAAGGGGAAAGACCAGAGUCCUGUGAUGCAGCUUUAUAUAAGGGAUGCAUCCAAGAACUGGAAACUGGCUGGACCGGAUGGAGGCAGCCGACUGGUAAUUAAGGAGCCUGUGGCAAAUGUAGUUUUGUUGGAUUACAUUUCAUCUGAGAAAUGGCAGGAUGUUGUAGAUUUUGAUGACCACCUUGAUGACAUUAAGAAUGACUGGCUUAAUCCAGAACUCUUCAAGUAAGAUCCUUCAUCGGUUGGUUGAAGACAAUGGCUGAUGCGGACGCAUGUCUUGAAAACCUCGAAGUAGACAACUAAUUUGACAAACCAUAGGGUUACAGAUAUUCUAUUCGCCAGAAGAUUUUGUUGUGAUGUAUUAAUGGGGUAUUUGUCAUAAGUUCAAGAAGAUAUCAUCAACAUUUCUUUAGUGAAACAUGUGUUUUGAGUUCAUUGUUUUGGAACUCGUAAGUAGAAUGCAAAGCCAUUAUGUUUUGAAUGUAUUGACCUAGUGAUUGAGUUUGACUACGAGGAUGUUAAUGGGUCAUGAAUUCAUGAUGUCACCUCAGACAGGUCUAAAAUGGCAUUUUCAAGCAGUUAUCCUUGAAUGAAGCCAGGGAUGAACCUGACCCACGAGGGAUGCAUGGGCUAUGUUCAACAAGCUCUAAAGAAGAUGAACAUGAUUAGUUCUGAAAAUGGAGACCACAGUUCAAGUUCAAGGAACCAGUUCAAGAUCUUUGAUUUGCUUUAUGUUUUGAUCAUUUCAAGAAUGCACUUACAUGCAUUUCUCCCAAGAAAGUCAUAUCACUAAAUUAUCAUUGCUUAUAAAUAUUUACACAUCAAGUUAUGACAAAACCAACUUGACAUUCCAUAAGCAAGUGAUUUUUUUCUCCAUGGAGGUUUUUCUCAUUGCAAUCAAACCCAUUUUUACAUAACAAAGAUUAAAAAAAUGCAGUUAAUCUUAAAUUUUCCCUCAUUGGGCAAGAUCCUGGUUAGGCUAGAAAUACAAAUCCUCUAAUAAAACAUAACAUUUUCUUUGUAUCUAAAUCUAUGUUUUGUUAUAU